rnacentral:rRNA from 1 species
CACGUUCGGAUUGUAGUCUGCAACCCGACUACAUGAAGCUGGAAUCGCUAGUAAUCGCGAAUCAGAAUGUCGCGGUGAAUACGUUCCCGGGUCUUGUACACACCGCCCGUCACACCAUGGGAGUCGGAAAUGCCCGAAGUCAGUGACCCAACCAAAAGGAGGGAGCUGCCGAAGGCAGGUUCGAUGACUGGGGUGAAGUCGUAACAAGGUACC